AUGGACGGACAUUCUCUCACUGAAGCACACUAUACAGUUCUACAGAAUUCCGCCUUGGUGGCUCCGUAUAUGGAUGAACACAAGAAUUUGCUACGCUCCAAACACCUGAAGCGGUCUGAUGACUGGAUUACACGUGAACAAACCAGGAGUUUCGCCAGCUGGUUGCAGACACGUACCAUGCAUGACACCUCUAUUGAAGAUGACUUGUACUUGCUGUCCCAGUUACCAUCUUCGAAUAUAACGACUUUCAAAGGGUACGAGAUAAAUGGUAAUACAUUUUACACGAUUGCCCAAGAUAAGAAGAGCACCAACCAAAAUAGUGGUGUCCGCUUUGAUGCAGAAACCAAGACGGGAAAGGAAACAUAUUAUGGUUAUAUACAGGACAUAUGGGAACUUGACUAUCGACGUGGUUUAAAGGUCCCUUUGUUUCGGUGCAAAUGGGUCAAUAUGACACGAGGCCGGGUAACGGAAGCCCCGCAGUACGGAAUGACAACAGUGGAUCUCAACAAUCUUGCGUAUGCAGACGAACCAUUCGUCCUAGCCAAUGAUGUGGCACAGGUUUUCUAUGUGAAGGACAUGUCUACCAAGCCAAGAAAAAGAAAAGAUAAGGAAGUGAAUGCAUCGUACGAUGAGCCAAAGCGGCACAUAGUUCUUUUUGGGAAGAGAAACAUCGUGUGA
rnacentral:rRNA from 1 species